rnacentral:rRNA from 1 species
CAGCAGCCGCGGUAAUACGAAGGGGGCUAGCGUUGCUCGGAAUGACUGGGCGUAAAGGGCGCGUAGGCGGCGGCCAAAGUCAGGCGUGAAAUUCCCGGGCUCAACCUGGGGGCUGCGUUUGAUACUUGGUUGCUUGAGUGGGGAAGAGGGUCGUGGAAUUCCCAGUGUAGAGGUGAAAUUCGUAGAUAUUGGGAAGAACACCGGUGGCGAAGGCGGCGACCUGGUCCUUUACUGACGCUGAGGCGCGAAAGCGUGGGGAGCAAGCAGGAUUAGAUACCCCAGUAGUCCCUGUCUCUUAUAC